rnacentral:rRNA from 1 species
UACGUAGGGGGCUAGCGUUGUCCGGAAUCAUUGGGCGUAAAGCGCGUGUAGGCGGUCCGGUAAGUCCGCUGUGAAAGUCGGGGGCUCAACCCUCGGAUGCCGGUGGAUACUGUCGGGCUUGAGGUACGGAAGAGGCGAGUGGGAAAUUCCUGGGUGUAGCGGGUGAAAAUUGCGCAGAUAUCAAGGAGGAACACCAAUUG